CUGGAAUGCCCUUUUGAAGUCACAAUUACAAUGGUAACUAGGUGACAAUACUUUGCAGGGCUGGGGCAAAGUGCUCCAGAAGGCUGUGUAUGCUCUGAAUCAGUGGCCGAUAUAUGGUACUGUUUCUCCCAUAGCCAAGAUUCAGGAGUCCAGGAAUCAAGGGGUGGAAAUGGAAGUGGCACGACUCACCAACACCCCUAGAGAUCCACUGGCAAAAUUUUUGCUUCCUGUUCCCAUGACAUUAUAUUUUGCUGGCCUAAAGGUCUUAGUUCCAGAGGGAGAAACACUGCCGCCAGGAGACACAACAACGAUUCCAUUCAAUUAGAAGUUAAGAUUGCCACUUGGACACUUUGGGCUUCUCCUACCUUGAAGUCAACAGGCUAAGAAGAGAGUUACUUGGCUGGGGCGAUUGACCCAGAUUAUCAAGAUGAAAUCAGUCUACUACUCCACAACUGAGGAAGCCAAGCCACACUGCUAACUGAUGAGAGACCAGCUUGAAAGAGGGAGGACCUGCCAAUUGCCAUCAGCACAACUCCAGAUAUAUGGGAGUCAGGCUUUAGGGCAAAAACCGGGGAUCACAGAAUGCUUGCUCAAUCAACUUUGCUCAUCCAAAAUCACAAAAAUCGCCUCAAAAAAUGUUGAUGAUAAUUUAAUUUUCUUCACUCUCCAUGAAGAUGUUAGAUAAUGCUCACUCUGGGUGAGAAUAAAAGCCAGACUCAUCAAUUGUGUUACCGAUUAUAUUCUUGCAAAAGAAUUUUCUUUUAAUUGAAAAAGCUGAAUGUGAGCCAGGCAUGGUGGUUCACGCCUGUAAUCCCAAAAGUUUAGGAGGCCGAGGUGGGUGGAUCUCCUGAGGCUGGGAGUUCGAGAGCAGCCCGGACAACAUAGCGAACCCUGUCUCUACUAAAAUUACAAAAAAUUACUGGGAGUUUUGGUGGGUGCCUGUAAUCCCACCUACUUAGGAGGCUGAGACACCAGAAUUGCUUGAACUCUGGAAGCGGAGGCUGAGGUCUGCCUGGGUGACAGAGCCAGACUCUGUCUUUAAAAAAAAAAAAUGGAAAAGCUGAAUAUGGCACUAUAGAUGCUACUAUUCAACUCUGUCUUCAUUCCUGUACAAAGGUCAGCUAGAACGACUAUAACUGAUAAAAUAGUAUUAAGAUAGUAUUUAUCCAUUCCAUAUGACCCUAUUGUUUGUAAUUAUAGAGAUCAUUGAAGCCAUGUACAUGAACAUCAAUAGCAGCACUCCUUCCCAAGACUUACUCCACCUCCCACAUUUUCUUUAAUUAUUAAUAAUGCUCUGCUUCUACUAUAGGUAUAUAGACACAGAUAAAACUAUAAACUCUAAGAGCCAUUUGAAGAAAGUCUAUCGUCAGAAGAAGCAAUCAUGAAAAUAAUUGCUAUUAUAUGUAUGAUUUUAUUCAUACUCCAAACAAUUAGUUGAAAAAACUGCAAGUAACUAAAUUUGAUAAUUUAGUAUGCAGAAAAGUUCUAUCACAUGAAAAUGGUAUGUUUUUGCCAUUGGCAAAUGGUAUUACACAACUCCAUGCUUUAUUUUAGCUUUGGAAAACAUAAAAGUAAAUGCAAAAUAUAUUUACUAAUCAUGAGGGCUCCUAGAAUAUUUAUUUUUGUGCCUCCUCCAAAAGAUUUUGGUAAUUUAAUUUACUUGUUUAGUUGUGUGUAAAUAUUUUAUAAAAUUCCUUAGAAGUAAGCAAAUAAAAAUCACUGAUAACCAGAAAACAAUGCACAAAUGAGUCCCCCCAUGCAGCUCCGCCUUUCUAUGCCCUUGAAAAACAAGAAAAGGUAAAGUAAACAAAAUCCACAUGAGCCUCUUGCAGUGGUAAAAGUAAUAGACCCAGAGUCAGGGAAUCAACUUUCCUAAGUUGCUGUAACACAGAUCACUUGUAUGACUUGGGGCAGCAUAUCUCUAAGACAAGAUGAUUGGGCACAGUAUUUCUUAAGAUUCUUUAUGCCUCUUUUGCUUUAAAAAAUUAUUAAAAUGUUUCUAAUAAAAAUACAAAGAAUCUUUUCUGUUACCAUUAUCAUCAUUUCAAAUUAAUUUAUAUGCUACACUUAAAUUUUAAAGAUAUUUAAUCUGGAAAGGAAUAGACAAAGCUAUUUAAAAGACUUCUAAAAUAAAUACGGAGGUAAUUUACUUUAGGAAGUAGAAAUAACAUCUUUUAUGUUUUUGUUUUUUUUAAUCAAAAUUAUUUUUAGACUGCUUAUAUGUAAGCAUAGUCUAUUCCUUGUUUUGACCAAGUGACAUUGUAGGUAUAUUUAAGAAAUUAUGGGCAAUUAGAACUUAAUUAAAAUGCUGUGAAUUGAAGGGUUUCUAAAGGUGUUGUGACUUAUGGUUUUUGAUUCUGCAUAUAAGGAGUUGGGAAGUUGCCACAAAAACAAGUAAAAAGCUUUCACAAGUGUAAAGGUAGACUGAAAAAUCAAUUCUAGAUCUGUAAGAGAAGUAAGGUCACAGAGCAAACCACUGCCAUCAAAAUUGGAGAGAUAGAACAGCAGACACAGAGAAACCACAAAUUACUGGAGCAGAAACCCAUGAGCAGAGAAGAGACCUACUGGGGAACCAAUACUAGGGGAGAAAAACUUAUACUUUGACAAACUUCUGGAAGGCCAGCCUUACACUUCUUUGGGUUUUACCAUUAGAGGAUCUACCAGAUCCUCACACUGAAUAUUGGAGAAAAAUCUCCUUGUGUUUCUAGCAGAGAGAGGAAGAAAAAAGAACCAUUUUCGAAACAUGCCAGAGCAUUCUGUUCUUCUUAACAAGGCCUGCUGUUAGGAAAAUCUAUUUUGCCAAAGCCUAAUCAGCCGAGGUUUCCAGAACCUAUACUACCUGGGGGAAGGGAAAUACCCUGCUCCAGCUUCUGUAGCCUUCACUGUGGGGGAAGAGAAAUACAUAAUUUCAGUUCACUUCGGCCAUUUUGUCUCACCUAAGGCAGGAUAAAUUGAGAAGCAACAAUAAAGUUCACAGUCCAGGGACACAGGUUCACAGAAAGACUGAGACCUAACCAUAGGGCUAUGCAAUGUUUCUUCUACCACAGCUUACCACUACGUUAUAAAAGACCUACUUACCACAGUUCCUUUUAGCUAGUAUUUAAUGUCUGCCUUUAGAGAAAAAUUCAAGGCACACAAAAAAGGAAAAGAUACAUAGUUGAAGAGACUGAACAGGUAUCAUAACCAGACUCAGAUAUGGCAGGAAUGUUGGAAUUAUCAGAGCAGGAAUUUUUUAAAAUUAGGUUUAAUAUGUUAAGUGUAUUAAUGAAAAAAAGUAGACAACAUACAAGAACAGAUGGAUAAUGUAAGCAGAGAGAUGGAAAUUCUGAGAAAGGAUAAAAAAGAAGUUCUAGAGAUAAAAACACUGUAACAGAAAUAAAGAACGCUUUGAUGUGCUCAUUAGCAGAAUGAACACAGCUGAAGAAAGAAUCUCUGAACUGGACAAUAUGACCAUAGAAACUUCUAAAUUAAAAAGCAUACAGAAAAAGACUGAAAAACUUAAAAACAGAACAGAAUAUUCAAGAACUGUGGAGCCACUAUAAAAGGUUGGAGAGCACAAAACCUUGAACAUCACAAGGAAAAUAGUUUUAUAAAGGCUUUCUCCAUUCAACAACAUAAAUCAGGCUUUAAAUAUAAAGCUACCAGAUAAGUCUUUGUAUAUAAAUUCCUUAUCUUAGUCUUUUUAGAAAUACUAUUUUUAACAAAAACAAAAAUUAUUUUUAAAAAUAUUUUUAACAAAUAGUAGAGAAAGAAAAAUGGUAUAGGCAAAUAACCUGUAUCUAUACAAAGAGAAGAAGAUCAGAGCAUAAGUGAAGGUCAAAUAUAAACUUUUAUUUUUCUUAUUUCUAAUUUAGCAUAGUUUAUUAUAAACAAUAGCAACAAUGUAUUCAUGUAUGCAUACUUCUGCAUGUGUGUAUAUAUGUAUAUAUAUUAUAUAUAUAUGCUUAUGUAUAAGUGAAACGAAUGACAAUAAUGAUAAAAGGGAUGGAUGUGAAGAAUUAGAAAUAUUUUGUUAUUAUAAGGUAUUUGUACUCCAGAUGAAAUGGUAUAGUGUUUUUUGAGAGUGGACUUCAAUUUGCUGUAAACUAUAUAGUAAAUUCAAGGGCAACUACUAAAAAGGAAAAAAAAUACAUUAAAAAAGAAGUAUAAUGUUAUCCUAAAAACUGAGAGAAAAUGGAACCAUAAAUGCUAAAUUAAAUCAGAAGAGACAAAAAAUUGUAAAAGACAGAAAUGAAAACCAACAAGGGCAAUAAAUAGAACACUAUAAAAAUAUUGUAGAGAUUAUUCAAUAAUCACAUUAAACAUCAAUGUUUUAAAUACAAUUAGGAGAUAGAGAUUGUCAGAGUGGAUCAAAAAACAAGACUCAACUGUAUGUUGUCUAUAAGAAACCCUUCUUAAACAUGAAACACAUAUAGGUUAAAAAGUGAAGGGAUGGAGAAAGAUAUAGCACACUAACACUUAUCCAAAAUAAAUGAGAGUAACUAUACUAAUUCUAGGGAGAGAAGGCUUCAGAGCAAGGAUAGUUAUCAGGGAUAAUAAGAGGUAUAUAUAAUAAUAAAGGACUAAUACUUCAUUAAGACAUAACAAUCCUUAACCUGUAUGUCCUUAGAGAACACCAACACAUGUGAGGCAAAAUACAAGAGUGCUGCAAAUUCUGCACAUGUAUCCCCGAACUUAAAGUAUAAUAAAAUACACACACAUACAUCAAAAAAUAAAAAUUCUAUGAUCACAUUAAUAGAUGAAGAAAAGGCAUUUGACAAAAUCCAGCACCUUUUCAUGAUAGAUUGUUUUGUUUUGUUUUUGGAACAAAUAGAGGAGAAUCUACCCAAUUUGAUUUUAAAAGGAGAAAAUCUGUAGCUAACAUCAUACAGUCAUGUGUCACAUUAUGACAGAGACACAUUCUGAGAAAUGCAUCAUUAAGCAAUUUUGUUGUUUAUGAAUAUCAUAGAGUGUACUUAUGCAAACCUAGAUGGUCUAGCCUACUACACACCAAGACUGUAAGUUAUAGCCUAUUGCUUCUAGGCUACAAACUUGUUUUGAAUAUUACUGUACUGAAUAUUGUAGGCAAUUGUGACAUAAUGGUAAGUGUUAGUGUAUCUAAACAUGCCUAAAUACAGAAAAGGUACAGUAAGAAUGUGGCAUUCUAAUCUUAUGGAACCAUUAUUAUUAAUGCAGUCUGUCAUUUACCAAAAUGUGGUUAUGCAAUCUAUGGCUUUACUUAAUAGUAAAAAAUUAGAAGCUUUGCCACUCACAUCAGGAACAAGAUAAGGAUUUCCUCUCUCUCCACUGCUUUUCAAUGUACUGGAAGUCCUAGGUAAUACAAGAAGUCUGUUUAUAGAUAACAUGAUUGUCUAGAUAGAAAAUCCAAACUAAUUGCUCCUCAUGGAAUUAAUAAGCAAUUAUAGAAAGGUUGCAGGAUACAAGUUUAAUAUACAAAAGUCAGUUGCUUUCCUAUACAUCAUCAAUGAACAAGGAAUUUGAAAACAAAACACAUUAUUAUUUACAUGAUCACCUCACAAAAUGAAGUGUUUAAAAUCUAACAAAAUAUAUUCAAGACUCAUAUGAGAAAAUCUACAACAUUUAGAUGAAAGAUACCAAAGAAAACUCAAUAAGUGGAGAGAUAUUCCAUGUUCAUGGAUUAGAAUACUCAAUAUUAUCAAGUUGUCAGUUCUUAGCUUGAUCUAAAGUCGAAAAAGUCCAAUAAAAUCCCAACAAGUUAUCAUAUGAAUAUUGGCAAACUUGUUCCAAAGUUUAUAUGGGAGAGCAAAAGACCUAGAAUAGCCAACUCAAUACUGAAAGAGAAGAUGAAAGUCAGAGACACAUAAAUUUAAAACUUGCUAUUAAGGUAUAGUAAUCAAGACAGUAUAAUACUGGCAAAAUGAUUGACUAAGAAAAAAAAAAAACAGAAAAAGAAAAGAACAGAAAACAAAAGAACAGAAAAGAGAGCCCCAGAAUAGAUCCACACGAAUAUAAUCGAUUGAUCUUUGACAAAGUCACAACAGUAAUACAAAAGGGCAAAAAUUAUCUUUUCAACCAAUGGUGCGGAAAAAAUGGGCAAUCUAAGUGAAAAAAAGUGCAUAGUGACACAGACCUUAUACCAUUCUCAAAAAUUAACUCAAAAUGAAUUAUAUACCUAAAUGUAAAAUGUAAACCUAUAAAAUUCCUAGAAGAUAACAGCAGAGAGCCUUGAUGAACUUGGUUGUCACAUGACUUUUUAGAAACAACACCAAAGACAUGAUCCAUGAAAUAAAUAAUUAACAAGCUGGAUUUCAUUAAAAUUUAACACUACUGCUGUGCAAAAACCACUGUAAAGAGAUUAAGAAGACAGGCUACAGAUUUGGAGAAAAUAUUUGCAAAAGAGACAUCUGAAAAGAACUGUUAUACAAUACAUAAAAAGAACUCUUAAGAGUCAACAAUAUGAAAAUGAAUAACCUAGUUAAAAAAUAGGCAAAAGACACUUUGUUCAACAAAGGAGAUACACAGGAGACAAGUAUGCAUAUUAAAAGAUGUUCAGCAUUAUAUGUUAUCAAGCUAUUACAAAUUAAAACAAAAAUGAUAUAACACUGCACAGCUAUUAUAAUAGCCAAGAUAGAAAACAUUGGCAACAUCAGAUGCUGGUGAGGAUGUGGAACAAUAAGAAAUCUUACUCUUGCUGAUGGGACUGCAAAAUGGUACAUCCACUUUGGAAAACAUUUUGUCAAUUUCUUAAAAGCUGAACAUACUCUUACCUUAUGAUCCAGUUUGGUACUCAUUUAAAGGAGUUGAAAAUUAGAAACCUGCACACAGAUGUUCAUAAAAGCUUAAUUCACAAUUGCCAAAACUUGGAAGCCACCAAGAUGUCUGUCAAUAGGCAAGUGGAUAAACUAUGGUACACAUAGACAAUAAAACAUUAUUUAGCGAUAAAAAUAAAUGAGCAAUCAAGUUAUAAAAAGACUUGGAGGCAAUUUAAAUGCAUAUAACAAAGUGAAAAAAGCCAAUCUGUAAAAGCUAUGUACUGUAUGAUUUCAACUAUAUGACAUUCUGGAGAAAGGCAAAAUCAUGGAAACAGUGAAAAAAAUGUUGUUCACCAGGGAUUAGGGGAGAAAGGGACAAAUAUAGGAAUAACACAGGUCCUCCCAUAUUUCUAUCCAAAUGGUGAAGCUUGAUCUACAAUUAUAGCCGAGGGAGAAGUAGGAUUUAUUUGGUGCUAUUAUCUGUGAACGAACGACUGUGAAAACCAAAUGCUAUUCUAUUGUUACAUAAAUGAAGACGUUGAGUAGAAUCUUAUUCGACCACAUGUAUGUAUGUAUUCUCCUCUUAUUCUUA
rnacentral:lncRNA from 1 species